rnacentral:rRNA from 1 species
GAUGAACGCUGGCGGCGUGCCUAAUACAUGCAAGUCGAGCGAACAGACGAGGAGCUUGCUCCUCGGACGUUAGCGGCGGACGGGUGAGUAACACGUGGAUAACCUACCUAUAAGACUGGGAUAACUUCGGGAAACCGGAGCUAAUACCGGAUAAUAUAUUGAACCGCAUGGUUCAAUAGUGAAAGACGGUGUUGCUGUCACUUAUAGAUGGAUCCGCGCCGCAUUAGCUAGUUGGUAAGGUAACGGCUUACCAAGGCAAGGAUGCGUAGCCGACCUGAGAGGGUGAUCGGCCACACUGGAACUGAGACACGGUCCAGACGCCUACGGGAGGCAGCAGUAGGGAAUGUGACGCAAUGUGCGAAAGCUUGACGGAGCAACGCGGAGUGAGUGAUGAAGGUCUUCGGAUCGUAAAACUCUGUUAUUAGGGAAGAACAAAUGUGUAAGUAACUAUGCACGUCUUGACGGUACCUAAUCAGAAAGCCACGGCUAACUACGUG